UACGUAGGGGGCAAUCGUUGUCCGGAUUUAUUGGGCGUAAAGAGCGUGUAGGCGGCUAGAUAGGUCCGUUGUGAAAACUCGAGGCUCAACCUCGAGACGCCGGUGGAAACCAUCUAGCUAGAGUCCGGAAGAGGAGAGUGGAAUUCCUGGUGUAGCGGUGAAAUGCGCAGAUACCAGGAAGAACACCCGUGGCGAAGGCGGCUCUCUGGUACGUGACUGACGCUGAGACGCGAAAGCGUGGGGAGCGAACAGG
rnacentral:rRNA from 1 species